AGAGGAAUAGCUGGGUCAAAUGAUGGUUCCAUUCCCAGAUUUCCAAGGAAUCUCCAUACUGCUUUCCAAAUUAGCUGCACCAAUUUGCAUUCCCACUAGCAGU
rnacentral:pre_miRNA from 1 species